UACGUAGGUGGCAAGCGUUGUCCGGAAUUAUUGGGCGUAAAGCGCGCGCAGGCGGUCCUUUAAGUCUGAUGUGAAAGCCCACGGCUCAACCGUGGAGGGUCAUUGGAAACUGGGGAACUUGAGUGCAGAAGAGGAAAGUGGAAUUCCAAGUGUAGCGGUGAAAUGCGUAGAGAUUUGGAGGAACACCAGUGGCGAAGGCGAACUUUCUGGUCUGUAACUGACACUGAGGCGCGAAAGCGUGGGGAGCGAACAGG
rnacentral:rRNA from 1 species